UUUCGAGGUUUGAAAUGUUAC
rnacentral:snRNA from 1 species